rnacentral:pre_miRNA from 1 species
CUCCCACCCAUGUGUGUAGGACCUUAAAAGAUCACCAUUAAAUUUGACACAAAUAUUUAGAAAAGUUAUUACAUAGGUGUGGGACUUGACUUUUCUAAAUAUCAAUGUCAAAUUUAAUGGUGAUCCUUUGAAGUCCUACACACAUGGGUGAGGA